AUCAGGAGGAAGUGACAUCAUGUUAGUUUUUAGUGGAGCCAUGUUUAAAAGCUGCCAACUGAGCUGCCAACCUAGGUUGUGCUUUGAGGCAUCAUAAGCGCAUUCCCGACACCAGGAACUGACUUCCCAAAGACAUUUCAUGCUGAGGCUACCGCAAACAACAUGCGACAAGACAGACUAGCACAUAGCACAACUGUGAAAAAUGUAAUGAAGCCCUCUGGUCCACUUGUCCUUGUGAGCCUGACGUCAAUCAAGU